rnacentral:rRNA from 1 species
UACGUAGGGGGCAAGCGUUGUCCGGAGUUACUGGGCGUAAAGCGCACGUAGGCGGCUUCUUAAGUCGGUGGUGAAAUCCUGGAGCUCAACUCCAGAACUGCCUUCGAUACUGGGAAGCUCGAGUCCGGGAGAGGUGAGUGGAACUGCGAGUGUAGAGGUGAAAUUCGUAGAUAUUCGCAAGAACACCAGUGGCGAAGGCGGCUCACUGGCCCGGUACUGACGCUGAGGUGCGAAAGCGUGGGGAGCAAACAGG